rnacentral:rRNA from 1 species
GACGAACGCUGGCGGCGUGCUUAACACAUGCAAGUCGAGCGGUAAGGCCCUUUCGGGGGUACACGAGCGGCGAACGGGUGAGUAACACGUGGGUGACCUGCCCUUAGCUCUGGGAUAAGCCUGGGAAACUGGGUCUAAUACCGGAUAUGACUCCAUGACGCAUGUUGUGGGGUGGAAAGCCUUGUGCGGCUAGGGAUGGGCCCGCGGCCUAUCAGCUUGUUGGUGGGGUGAUGGCCACCAAGGCAACGACGGGUAGCCGGCCUGAGAGGGCGACCGGCCACACUGGGACUGAGACACGGCCCAGACUCCUACGGGAGGCAGCAGUGGGGAAUCUUGCGCAAUGGGCGAAAGCCUGACGCAGCGACGCCGCGUGGGGAUGACGGCCUCGG